rnacentral:lncRNA from 1 species
ACAAAAUAAUAUGUUCAUGUGAACAUGUGAUAAAAAGGAAAUAUAGCUUGUUUAGCAGGAAGAGAGAAGGAAACAUGAACUUAUAGCAAUAUGCUAUUUAAUGUCUGUGUUUUGAAUAUUUAAAAUAUCUGAUGGUAAAAUUGCCAAAGUAGUUUGAAUUCAUGUAAGUUGUUUAUACUACAACAAUGUGGGAUAUGUUUACAGGCUCUUUAUAGUGCUUACUUUGUAGUUCUGAUGAAGUUUGUAGUUUGUAUUUAAGUCAUUUAUAGUAAAUGUAUGAUAAAUAUUUGCUGGAAUAAAUAUCUCAGUAAUAUAGCAAAACGUAUCUAAGUAAUCCCACAGUCUGCUUUCAUACAAGGUGCUUUGUCCAGAAAAGCAAGUACUUUGUGACACCAUUGCUUACACCCCACAUUUGCACCAACUGUCCAACUACAUUCCUGGAACCCUGUGUGGUGGGUGCUGCCUCCAAGUAAAACAGCUGUGUUACUAUAAUUAUAUCAGAGUUACUAAUCUAUUAACAGAUAUUUGUGUCUCAGUGUGAUCACAAAUUGAGUGACUUUUAUGAAAUUCUUAGAAAAUUAUAUACAUGCAAAGAAAUUUAUUUAAUCUUAAAACUUUUUGAGGGCUAAUUGCUAAUAGAUAAUGUUAUCAAUUUUAAGAGUAAAAGAAAUCAAUCCCAGAAUUAUAUGUUUUGAGUUCUGCUUUUUACCACAAUUCUUAUUUUGCAUAGAUUUCAUUUACUCUUAGUAGUACUUAUUAUAAUAUAUUUCUCUAUGUUAUCAGAAACAACAACCCAUGUAUUCCGGCCCACAAUUACUUGAUUUUCAUGCCUUAUUGAAUUCUUUUGAGUAGGUACCAUAAUGUUAUUUUCUGUUUCCAUCUAUCAGUGUGACGCUGCUUAUUUUACAGUUUUCUACUGUGGAACACUGUUGAUUUCUAAAGUCAUUAUUUAUUUUUUUUUUAAGUCCUCCGAAGGUAAAUGAGCAGCCAUUAGUUCUAGCUUUUUGGUGGCAGUCCAUCUGUAUUGGCUAGGUAUGGUUCAGUGCAUAAACAAGUACACCAUUUUGCAGAAAGUUAUUAGCAAUAUUUCAAGUUAAAAACUACACUGUUCAGGAAGAGUUCAAACGUUUAACUUCCUGGAGCCUUGUAAAUUUUCCAGUAUAAGAAUGAAAAAGAAAGCCUUGGUAAGUUCAUAAAAGUUUCAAAUAAACACUGUAGAGUUUUCCUAUUAUGUAAAUGAUAUACAGAAAAUAUUUUUCUAUGAACAGAAGGUUAAAACUGUUAACUUUAAUUUCAUUGCUUAAAAGGGAUAAAACAAUAUUUGUAUGUCUUUCAUGCUGUAAAGAAAAUGAAUGUAUCUUUCAAAUGUUAGAGUCAUUACUUGAUUGUAAGUAUAUGUGUUUUUAAAAAUCUGUAAAGGGUUGAAAAGAAGAGUAUUACAAGUCAUUAUGUAAGACGCAAUGUUGGAAGAAAUGGAAUUUCAUUAUAAAUGAGCAGUCACUAUCAAAGCAUAUUUCAGUAUAGUGCAUAUUCAUUUUCACAUUGCUUUGUUUUAUCUCUAGAAAUGUUUCUUAAAAAUUGUGUAUACUGUUUUGGGUAUACACUAAUUGGUUUCUACACUUGUGUGUUAGGCUCAGUGUGCUGCUGCAUGUGUCUACCAUGGGGAAAAGUUACCAAGUUUUGUCAAUGUCGAAGCCACCAAUGGGGGCAUCAUUGUUAGAAUGUGAAACCCAUGCCUAGGAGCCACUGCAGCAACUCUGUGCAGAGGCCUCUGACUGUGCUAAUGUGUUUCCCUUUUUAUCUUCAAUGACAUGGAUAGUAAGACUACUGGGCCCAACUCUCCUGACUUGUGGUGGUUUGUAUGCUUACAACUUUAUUCAGCUAGUGCCCGUAGGUGUGAAUGAUUUGUUCAUUAGCUCUUUAAAUCUAGUAUUUAUCAGUUAUUAAACUUGAUGAAAAUUGGGAAUUCAUUGUUUUGACACUUUUCUAGCCAUCCAUACUAAUUUUAACUCAUCAUGAUGGACCCUGAACAACCAAAAAGUGAUCCCUGGUUAGUGUCAGAUUUCCUCUACCCCAGCAUUUACAAGGUUGACUGAUGACUUAGAAGUUGCAUUGUUAAAUAAAGUCACUGCCAAGGAUCAUGAAGGAGGUAGCUUUCUCUAAACUUUGGCCCAGAGAGGCUGCUUCCUGGUUCCCUAGAUGGACUAAAUAUCUGCUGUGUGUCUUCAUAUCCUCUAUAGUCACAAUUAGGCCUAGUUUACCUCUUAAAAAUUUUUUUGUUUUCCACUUAUAUUUGCCUUCCUGGGGAAGGAAGAUUCAACCCAAUUCUAUGAUUCUCUGGAUUCAUUUUUCCAAGUUUUUCAAUGAGUUAGUGAGAUUCCUCAUUCAUGAAUCC